CCCCAGGUUGAUUUUUCCUGAAGUGGAAAGUAACCUUAGAGGUUAAACCAUGCAAACCAGCGAAGGAUAACGGAGCGGCGUUCGGCUCAGUAUGGCAGGGAAAUCUAGCCACUAAGGAGGAUAACCACGGAAACCUGUGGCUAAAACAAGGUGGGUGAGUCCUUGGCCUAUCAGCUAGUCGGUACGGUAAA
rnacentral:rRNA from 1 species